GUGCCAGCAGCCGCGGUAAUACGAGAGGCCCGAGCGUUAAUCGGAAUCACUGGGCUUAAAGGGUGUGUAGGCGGUUCGGCAAGUCAGAUGUGAAAUCCCCCGGCCUAACCGGGGAACUGCGUUUGAAACUGCCGUGCUUGAGUGCGAUAGGGGUGCGCGGAACUUCCAGUGGAGCGGUGAAAUGCGUUGAUAUUGGAAGGAACGCCGGUGGCGAAAGCGGCGCACUGGGUCGUUACUGACGCUGAGACACGAAAGCCAGGGGAGCGAACGGGAUUAGAUACCCCGGUAGUCCUGGCUGUAAACGAUGGGCACUAGACGGGAGACGCUUCGGCGGAUCCGGUCGCAGCGAAAGCACUAAGUGCCCCGCCUGGGGAGUAUGGUCGCAAGGCUGAAACUUAAAUGAAUUGGCGGGG
rnacentral:rRNA from 1 species